rnacentral:rRNA from 1 species
UACGUAGGCAGCGAGCGUUGUUCGGAGUUACUGGGCGUAAAGGGCGCGUAGGCGGUGCGGUAAGUCACCUGUGAAAUCCCCGGGCUCAACCCGGGAACUGCGUCCGAUACUGGCUGGCUUGAAUCCGGGAGAGGGAUGCGGAAUUCCAGGUGUAGCGGUGAAAUGCGUAGAUAUCUGGAGGAACACCGGUGGCGAAGGCGGCAUCCUGGACCGGUAUUGACGCUGAGGCGCGAAAGCCAGGGGAGCAAAGCGGG